UACGUAGGAGACGAGCGUUGUCCGGAGUUACUGGGCGUAAAGGGUGCGCAGGCGGCCCUGCGCGUCGCGAGUGAAAUCUCCGGCUCAACUGGGAGGGUGGUCGCGAGACGGCAGGGCUUGAGGCUCGGUGAGGGGCGUGGAAUUCCGGGUGGAGCGGUGAAAUGCGUAGAGAUCCGGAGGAACACCAACGGCGUAGGCAGCGCCCUAGACGAGACCUGACGCUCAGGCACGAAAGCGCGGGGAGCGAACAGG
rnacentral:rRNA from 1 species